GGUUAAGUGACUAAGCGUACACGGUGGAUGCCUUGGCAGUCAGAGGCGAUGAAAGGCGUAAUAACUUGCGAUAAGCCCAGAUUAGGUAGUAAUAACCUUUUGAGUCUGGGAUUCCUGAAUGGGGAAACCCACUUGCAUAAGCAAGUAUCCUGUUGUGAAUACAUAGCAACAGGAGGCAAACCGGGGGAACUGAAACAUCUAAGUACCCCGAGGAAGAGAAAUCAACCGAGAUUCCGAAAGUAGCGGCGAGCGAAAUUGGAUUAGCCCUUAAGCUUUUAAUGAGACAGAUGAAGGCUCUGGAAAGUGCCGCAAUAAAGGGUGAUAGCCCCGUAAUCGACAUCUCAUAAUCAGUGAAAACGAGUAGGGCGGGACACGUGAUAUCCUGUCUGAAUAUGGGGGGACCAUCCUCCAAGGCUAAAUACUACUGACUGACCGAUAGUGAACCAGUACCGUGAGGGAA
rnacentral:rRNA from 1 species